rnacentral:lncRNA from 1 species
CAGCAGCGUCCGCACGGAGCCCAGCUCCGAAAGGUCCUUGACCGUCGUCUUGCCGUCCUUGAGCUGCUCAAACUGGGCUCUGCUGAGGACCCCGGAAGCCAGGAGCUCGCUGGCUGGCACAGGGGCACGGAGGCCGCUGAAGGACAGCCUCUCCUGCCGCAGGGUCUCCACCUCCUCCACGAUGGUAAUGAGAAUCUUGAUGACCUUCUCCACGGUGACCUUGCCCGUGCGGAACUGACGCAACAGCUCCUGCCGCUGCUCCGCAGUGAAGUACUCAGAGCUGAUGAGCUCCCACACCGUCACCGUCCUGCCCUUGAAGCCACCCACGGGGACCUCAACCGGGGUCUUUUCAAAGGUCUCACGGGCCUGCAGCUCUGAGUAGAGCUCCUCCUGCCGGGCCCGAGCAGCCUUUUCUGAGAGCGGCAGCAGGCUCAGCCCGGUCAGCUGGUCGGGCCGGCACCGCUGCUGGAGCUCGCCGUAG